rnacentral:misc_RNA from 1 species
GAAAUGCGAUAAUUAAUGUGAAUUGCAGAAUUCAGUGAAUCAUCGAGUCUUUGAACGCACAUUGCGCCCCCUGGUAUUCCGGGGGGCAUGCCUGUCCGAGCGUCAUUGCUGCCCUCAAGCACGGCUUGUGUGUUGGGCUUCCGUCCCUGGCAACGGGAACGGGCCCAAAAGGCAGUGGCGGCACCAUGUCUGGUCCUCGAGCGUAUGGGGCUUUGUCACCCGCUCCCGUAGGUCCAGCUGGCAGCUAGCCUCGCAACCAAUCUUUUUAACCAGGUUGACCUCGGAUCAGGUAGGGAUACCCGCUGAACUUAAGC